AUUGAACGCUGGCGGCAGGCCUAACACAUGCAAGUCGAGCGGAGCGGCGGACGGGCGAGUAAUGCCUAGGAAUCUGCCUGGUAGUUGGGGAUAACGUCCGGCAACGGGCGCUAAUACCGCAUACUAUCAGAUGAGCCUAGGUCGGAUUAGCUAGUUGGUGGGGUAAAGGCCUUCCAAGGCGACGAUCCGUAACUGGUCUGAGUGGAUGAUCAGUCACACUGGAACGGAGACACGGUCCAGACUCAUACGGGAGGCAGCAGUGGGGAAUAUUGGACAAUGGGCGAAAGCCUGAUCCAGCCAUGCCGCGUGUGUGAAGAAGGUCUUCGGAUUGUAAAGCACUUUAAGUUGGGAGGCGUUACCAACAGAAUAAGCACCGGCUAACUUCGUGCCAGCCGCCGCGGUAAUAC
rnacentral:rRNA from 1 species